ACAAUUUAAUAAAGUUGCGGACUUAAAAUUUGAGUCCGGAGGGUUGAGAGAAAAAAUGAUUUGAGUCCGAGCAAAACCCAAAUAGUCACUUUUUGGAGGGGGAAAAUUUGGGUUUGGCCCUCGUGGGUUGGAGAUGGUCUGAGCUGCUCUAUUGGCAUCACGCUGAACAUACAAAAAGACAACUGAAUGCACCUGCUUCACCAUAUGCAGGAUGUCAUGAAGCACACCUUCAAUACUUGCAUCACUGUUCGCCUGCCCCCGUGGCCAAUCUCCAAACACUUGUACCCUCUUUGGAUUCCCGUGGCCAAACCGGUCCGCACAGCUUCCGCUUCCACUACAAGCGCUGAAUCACUCUUGUCUCCCCCUUCGCCCCCAGCAGCAACAAACUCGCCAACCAAAGAAAAUAUGAACUGCAUCUUCAUCUUGCUCUGAACACAUCACACACUCCUUAUCUACCGGCACCCCGCUUCUUCUAAGAUUUCUUCUGAGAGCCGAAUAAUUAUUACAAGAUCAAGAUGGCCAAAUAAAAUUCCGCAAUUUGUUUGGCACCUCAAGCUUCUAUUCAGUGGUCUUGCAAUGAUGGUUUCUGGGCCUAACUGUAUCCAUAUAGACACAAACCCCGAAAUCCUACAUAGAAGCUCCGAUCUCGACACCUGGGAAUGUUGGUGGGCAACCCUGGAGUGCCCACCAAGUGUUCGCUGAAAUGCCACAAACAAGUAUAUUCUACGCCUUGUUUUUGUUUGUCCUUGCCAAGCGACCCGUUUGUUAACCCAUAACAGAUAACCCGGCCCAAAGUCCCACCGACUAUGUUGGCCAAUAGACUCGGAAUCAAUUUGAUACUUUAUAUGUGGUGUGAGAGAGUUUUGAAAUGAGGCUUCCUCAAAAUUGCUAUCCCUUAUAUUAGGAUUGAACACAUUCAGCUUAUUACUGUAAAAAAAAUUGUCCCUUGAAUUGCUUAUUUGCGCAGCUGGUAAAAAUUGUCAGGUUUUUACUGGUGGUGUAGUAAUAAACGUAUAGUUAGCCUGCCGGUUCUAAAUAUUGAUUGCAUGGUAUAAGUGGAGAUCUUUAGAAGAUAAGCUAUGUUUAAGAUCAUAUCUGUAUUCUUUUGGUACUGGAAGAUAAAGCUUGCAGUAGUCAACUAAUUCCUAUAUUCAACAGGAUUAGGGAGCUGCUCCUACAUGUGAUUAUAAACUCCAACACAUCUUAUGUCCUGGUGGUUGUAUUGCACUUUGAUGUUGUUUAUACUUUAUAGUUAAACUGGAUUUAGAUCUUUACUCUCUCUGAGUUCAAUAUCGUUGUCUGUCUAGUUACCUUGGUUCUGUCUGGAAAUGAAAAUUAAUUUCUCUUGUGUUGUUUUCCGUCGUUUUCAUGUUUACUUUCUCUCUGUGCUUGUGCUGAAGAAAACAUGGAUGUCAAAAAAGAAAAUGAUGAGAAUGUCAUUCCUAACACACGUACUUCUACACAUCCAUUAACUUCAACUUCCGACUUGCAUCCAAAUAAGAGAGCGAAAAAAGAUACAUUGACACAAGCAAUUGGCCAGGCCGGAAUCUUACCAAAGGAGUUCUUGGCAAGUCAAAUGAAACCGCAACUCAUAGGAGAGGAGAUACUUGCAGUGGUCUCAAAGAUACCGAACCUCAGUAGAUUGCAAGUUUUGAAGGGCGUACGAAUAUUAUUGAAUGGUAAUCCAGAAGAGUUCUCUAUAUUGAAACAUCUUCCGCAUGAUGAGAAGACAGAGUGGAUCCUACUACUUAUUAGUCAAUCUCAAUCCUGAAGGUUUUCUUAAUUGGAUUUUCAGUCUCAUCAAAUUUGUAUUUGCAAAGAUCAAUGCCCCAUCCAUUAAAGGCACCCCUUCAAAUUUUAAAUAUGAAAGUCUAAUUUUCCCUAGCAUAAAAUAGCUAUUUGAAUCUAAAGAAUUUUAUAAAAGAAAAUUUUAUUCUCUGCCUACUCCCCUCAGAUCCCACAUUUGAUAAUCCACAGCUUACAUCAUCUUCUCCCAACUGUUAUCCUCACUCAAUUACCCUCUAUUGUUGAAUCUUAAAUGAAACGAUGUGUCUCACAAGUCUAGUUUCAAGAGUUUGGUUUGUGAAGUCCCCUAUUUUAAUAAAACUCUGCGUUUUGAUUUAAUUUCCCAUAAUCUCUCCCAUCCAUCCACGGUCCACCCAAUAAAAUCACUGGGCGCAGCCCCAAAAUCUCAUUUCGUAAUUUAUUAACCCAAAAGUCGAAAAUAAGCCCUCAUAGUUCAUAUUGUCACCUCCAUGCCUCAAACACUUAGAUAUUUAGCCGUUGUUUUUGUUUUGUUAAUAAUGCCUAUUUGUGAGGGACUUAGUUAGCAUUUGAUCUAUUCUUUUGGAGAAUCCCAUAAAUCUAGGAUUGUUAGACGUGGGAUAUUGUUUUUCUUGGUUUCAUGUUAAGUUUGUUUUUGUAAGCCUAUUUAAACUAGGUCUCUGAUUUCAUUCAAUAACAAAUCAAUUUUAA